CUCAAUACAGUGAGUACAGGCCAAUGCCAAUACAGUGAGUACAGGCCAAUGCCAAUACAGUGAGUACAGGCCAAUGCCAAUACAGUGAAGACAGGCCAUCCAAUACAGUGAAUACAGGCCAAUUCCAAUACAGUGAGUACAGGCCAAUGCCAAUACAGUGAAGACAGGCCAAUGCAAAUACAGUGAAGACAGACGGUACAGAAAAAAGUAUUACAUAAGGGUUCUUCGGGUGUCCGCAUAGGAGAACUCUUUAAGGUUCCAGGUAGAACCCUUUUUGGUUUCAGGUAGAACUCUUUGGGGUUCCAUGUAGAACCCUCUGUGGAAAGGGUUCUACCUGGAACCAAAAAGGGUUCUUCAAAGGGUUCUCCAAUGGGGACAGCCGGAGAAGCCUUUUAGGUUCUAGAUAGCACUUUUUUUCUAAGAGUGUACUGACCAAUGCCAACACAGCGAAGACAGACCAUUACCAAUACAUCUUGAACAAUGCCUAUGUGAUUUAUAGUUCUUAUAUUUGUACCUUUAGCUGAGCCUCCAGAUAUAGACUUCUUGUGGAGUGACUGAGUGGAAGAAAAAAAGGGGGAUAUAGAGAGGAGUGACUAUGGGGGGGUAGGAAAGGGGGAUAUAGAGAGGAGUGACUAGUGGGAGGGAAGAAAGGGGGAUAUAGAGAGGAGUGACUAGUGGGAGGGAAGAAAGGGGGAUAUAGAGAGGAGUGACUAGUGGGAGGGAAGAAAGGGGGAUAUAGAGAGGAGUGACUAGUGGGGGGUAGGAAAGGGGGAUAUAGAGAGGAGUGACUAGUGGAAGAAAAGAAAGGGGGAUAUAGAGAGGAGUGACUAGUGGGAGGGAAGAAAGGGGGAUAUAGAGAGGAGUGACUAGUGGAAGAAAAGAAAGGGGGAUAUAGAGAGGAGUGACUAGUGGGGGGGAAGAAAGGGGGAUAUAGAGAGGAGUGACUAGUGGGAGGGAAGAAAGGGGGAUAUAGAGAGGAGUGACUAGUGGGGGGUAGGAAAGGGGGAUAUAGAGAGGAGUGACUAGUGGG
rnacentral:lncRNA from 1 species